rnacentral:rRNA from 1 species
UACGAAGGGGGCUAGCGUUACUCGGAUUGACUGGGCGUAAAGGGCGCGUAGGCGGCUUGUACAGUCAGACGUGAAAUUCCUGGGCUCAACCUGGGGGCUGCGUUUGAUACGUGCGGGCUUGAGUUCGGAAGAGGGUCGUGGAAUUCCCAGUGUAGAGGUGAAAUUCGUAGGUAUCGGGAGGAACACCGGUGGCGAAGGCGGCGACCUGGGUAGAUACUGACGCUGAGGUGCGAAAGCGUGGGGAGCAAACAGG